AACGAACGCUGGCGGCAUGCCUAACACAUGCAAGUCGAACGAGACCUUCGGGUCUAGUGGCGCACGGGUGCGUAACGCGUGGGAAUCUGCCCUUGGGUUCGGAAUAACAGUUAGAAAUGACUGCUAAUACCGGAUAAUGUCUUCGGACCAAAGAUUUAUCGCCCAGGGAUGAGCCCGCGUAGGAUUAGCUAGUUGGUGAGGUAAAGGCUCACCAAGGCGACGAUCCUUAGCUGGUCUGAGAGGAUGAUCAGCCACACUGGGACUGAGACACGGCCCAGACUCCUACGGGAGGCAGCAGUGGGGAAUAUUGGACAAUGGGCGAAAGCCUGAUCCAGCAAUGCCGCGUGAGUGAUGAAGGCCUUAGGGUUGUAAAGCUCUUUUACCCGGGAUGAUAAUGACAGUACCGGGAGAAUAAGCCCGGCUAACUCCGUGCCAGCAGCCGCGGU
rnacentral:rRNA from 1 species